rnacentral:lncRNA from 1 species
GAAUACGAUUUGAUUUUCUCGCUGAUGGAUUCUUUCCAAUCUUCAGAGGGCAGACGACGAGGGCGUAUGCGUGUGAACGCUUGGUUCAAGCUCUUCACAUAGACAUGAUCUUGGAAGACUCGUUUUUAGACCGAAGCGAUUCUUUGAACCGAGUUCUUUCUCUUUCUUGCGAAUGCUGAUGGUUGGAUUCAAUGUUCUGGAUCAGGUCCCUUGACCUUAGCGGCCUCGUUCUUUAAAAAAAAGAACUACAUUCAGUUGACACAGCUAUUGACUCAGCUG